rnacentral:rRNA from 1 species
GACGAACGCUGGCGGCGUGCUUAACACAUGCAAGUCGAACGGAAAGGCCCUGCUUUUGUGGGGUGCUCGAGUGGCGAACGGGUGAGUAACACGUGAGUAACCUGCCCUUGACUUUGGGAUAACUUCAGGAAACUGGGGCUCAUACCGGAUAUGAGCUCCUGCUGCAUGUUGGGGGUUGGAAAGUUUCGGCGGUUGGGGAUGGACUCGCGGCUUAUCAGCUUGUUGGUGGGGUAGUGGCUUACCAAGGCUUUGACGGGUAGCCGGCCUGAGAGGGUGACCGGCCACAUUGGGACUGAGAUACGGCCCAGACUCCUACGGGAGGCAGCAGUGGGGAAUAUUGCACAAUGGGCGGAAGCCUGAUGCAGCAACGCCGCGUGCGGGAUGACGGCCUUCGGGUUGUAAACCGCUUUCGCCUGUGACGAAGCGUGAGUGACGGUAAUGGGUAAAGAAGCACCGGCUAACUACGUG